UACGUAGGGGGCUAGCGUUGUUCGGAAUUACUGGGCGUAAAGCGCACGUAGGCGGCUUUGUAAGUUAGAGGUGAAAGCCCGGGGCUCAACUCCGGAAUUGCCUUUAAGACUGCAUCGCUAGAAUUGUGGAGAGGUAAGUGGAAUUCCGAGUGUAGAGGUGAAAUUCGUAGAUAUUCGGAAGAACACCAGUGGCGAAGGCGACUUACU
rnacentral:rRNA from 1 species